UGCAGCUGGAGUGGGGAGAGAAUUUGGUCACUUUUUGGUUUGCUCAAAUUACCUUUGCAAGUGGUGCCUGCAUCAGAAGGGCUCUGAACCAGACAGGUGAUAGUCCUUUCUCCCCAGAAUAUACAGGUGCUGAACUCCAUGGAGAACUCCCUGGCUGUCAGCUGGGAUCCAGUGACUGAUGUGAAUAAUUACCUCCUGACUAUCCAGCUGGGUAUGAAUGUUGGUGAAACAAAUCCAUGUGCCCAAAGAGCAGCUCAGCUAUGAGAUUGCAUCCUGGCACCAUGCAAUCUCACAAUGUCACACUUCCAUCACAUGUGAAAGGGAUUGCCACUGAGCCCAAGCAUCUAGAAGCCAGUACAGGUAGGAGCAGGUAAUAUCAUUUGAAGAGUCAGAUGUUUUAAAUCUUUAAAGUUAGAUUUCAGGGAAAGCACUUUCUCUUCCCAGCCUAGAGUUAUGUCAUUGUUUUUCAUGUCAUUCUCUGGAGAAUCUGUUCCCAGAUUUGGAUCAUUGGGGCUGAAUGUAUUGCAUAUUUCAUCUGUUUCCAUUUUUCAUGUCCAAAUCCUACAUGUGUUGACACCUAUGAAUUCUAGGGAAUUUGUAGUGCUGCCUGCUGCAAGAAGCAGGAAUGGAAGCAUGCAGGAUAAAGACAGCAUGUUACUACGAAUAAUGCAGAAAGAACUUUAAAGUAGGCAGGAUGUCAUUCCUAGGUACUUACUGUCCAAAAAUGUCUGCAGCAUUUCUAUUUCUCCUCAUAGGCUCUUCCCAGGAGUGAAUGAGCAUGAUCCUGCUGAGGCUAAGAGGUUGAGUAUGCAAAAGCUGUGCAUUUGAAGCAGCCUCUUGAGAGCUGAAAUGUUCUUUGGUUAGCAGCUGAUACUAUGCUAUCUGCUUGUACUGGGCCAAGACAGUGAAAGCUUGGUGAUUUUGGCAUUUUUCCUGCUUCCAGCACAGCAGGUGGGAACUGAGAGCCAGCAAACACCAGAGCUGGACUGUUACCAUGGAUAAAACUAAACCUGUUGAAGUAACUGUUGUGCUGUCCUUGCUUGACUCCUCAGUUUGGCUAAGGAAAAUGUUAGAGCAGGAAUCUGGGCAGGGAAGGAGCAUUGUUUAGUGACUUUUCUGUCUUCUAUUUACCAUUUUGUGCUUUUGCUGCUUCCCUACAUCUCUCUGCUGUGUUUCCCAGUGUGGUCUGCAGCCAAUGCCAUCUGAGUGACAGAGGAGGUGGAGUACUCCUUGCAAGUGGGGUGGGAGAGCCCUAAACCAGAUGUGCAUUAUUACAAGCUGAAGUUCAGAUCCGUGGUGGAGAUGGAUGAGAAGCAGGUCAUGGUGCCCAAAAGCAGUGACCCUAAGAGCAGAUACAUCCUCACUGGUGAGGAUUCGUGGGUGAAGUGGCAGGAAUGAAUGAUUAACAAUCAGACUUAAAUAAAGACAAUUCUUUUCUCAUGUGUGAAUGUCCAGUGAGAUCUGUUUGGGCUCCCCUGUCACAUAAGGAGCGGUGUCUCCCCAGGGAGAAAGCUAUGCUUUCUCGAUAGCAAGUUUCCAGGCAUAUUCAUGCACUUAAUUCUGUCCUUGUUAGGAAAAAAGGGCAUUCAUAAUAUCAGCAAAAGACCUGAAAAUCCCCACCUGCAGCAGUCCAUGUGCCUGCCCUAAGGGCAAGCCUAGAUGAAAGCACUGAAAAGACAAAAAGCAAGUUGGAUAGAAAUCUAAACUUUAAGUUCCCCUCUAUGACAAACCUGGAGCUGGAUAAACUAAACAAAACAGCUUUCUUCAAGAAAAAAUGCCAUCUUCCCUAAUUGUUGGUAGUGCUUUUUCUCUUUAUAGGCCUCGAACCUGGAACAGACAUGAUGCCACUGUCAUACCUGUGAAAGACAACACAGAAAGGAAACCAUCCUCAGUGACUGGCAGGACUGCUAUGUGGAAAGUUGCUUUUGCUACAGUGAUGUUAUUACAGGGUUUGGGGACAGAUCUUUCAAAAUUCCAACACAAAAGGUUCAUAAUUGACUGCUUCUUCAUUCAUGACCUGCAGCUAGGUCUGCUUAUACCUUAUUUGAGCUUGCCUGCAUUCCAUAUUAAACACUAAACACUAAACAACCCUAGGCCUAGCUCAGUGUUUUACUUUUUUACAGUAACUUCACCCUUAACUUGACUUAUAGCUCCAUCCAGACACGGCUACAUGUAGUGAGUUAGCCUCUGUAUGGAAUAACAACUCUGUUGGCUAAUUGACUGUCUUAAAGAAAAAUGGCAAAAUAUUUUUUAGCUACUCUCUUGCAAAAGAGACCUUGAAGAAUUUUAAACUCUCAUUCUACUUACAAGAUUAUGGAAUUUCUGAAAUUCAUCUCUUACAAAAGGGCAGGCAUUCUGCUUCCAAAGACUGAAAAAUUCCAUAUCAGGCCUGACAUUCCUGAGGUUGUUGUGUAAAUUACUCCAUUAAAACAAAAUUUUUAAAAAACAACAGAACCUACAACCUCCACAUUGUCAUUUUAAUGUAGACUUUGUAGACUUUGAUUUUUUGGAACACAUUUGACUUGUGUUUUCAAGCUGUUCUUGACAGACAUGGGGGAUGCAAAGGUUCUUAAAAAAGGAAAAUAAUAACCCCCAUGCUCAUAUUCUUAUGUAACCCCUGGAAUUUAGGAGAUGCAAAUAAGCAAAUACCAGCUACUUUAAGAGCUGCCACCAAGCUCUGAUUCAUCAGCUAAAAUAGCAAAACCUGAGGGAGUCUGAGACAGGUCUGCAGGAAAGGCAGAAAGGGAGGAGCAGCAGAUGGCUGGCAGUGGAGGCAGAGAAAGGGUAGACACUGUACUUGGAGCUGGGAGGGGGAAAGCCAGAAGGUUGGUGCCAAAAUGAUUUUUGCUUUUAUAUAUUCUUCAUUUAUUUGUAGCUCUGUAGAUUAUUGCUGUAUAGUAACAGCUCCUGGCUCCCUGCAGCAUUUUUCCUACUCCAACAGACAGACAAAAUUCCAGAGGCCUCAAUCCUAAUCUUGCUUCCUCUGGGAACCAAGGAUGAGCUAUUCUCCCAAAACACUUUCCUAUAAACAACUGGAAGAAGAGGGGCUCCAGGAGAGUUUGAGCCAAGGGGGUGAACUGCGUUAUCACCUGUGUUUCUAGUUGGUGUUUCUUGUAAUUAUGCUAAUUUACUAAACUUGCAAAACUAUAUUCACCCUUUGUGAGGUGGGCAUUUUUCCAUACUUGGCCCUGGGGGUCUCCAAUUAAAGACCAGCUUUUAUGUUGCCUCCUAUAUUAA